rnacentral:rRNA from 1 species
AAUCUGGCUCAGGACGAACGCUGGCGGCGUGCUUAACACAUGCAAGUCGAACGAGAAUCUGUGGAAAGAGGAUUCGUCCAAUUGAAGCAGAGGACAGUGGCGGACGGGUGAGUAACGCGUGAGGAACCUGCCUUUCAGAGGGGGACAACAGUUGGAAACGACUGCUAAUACCGCAUAACACAUUGAGGUCGCAUGGCCUUAAUGUCAAAGAUUUAUCGCUGAAAGAUGGCCUCGCG